AUGGCACUUGGCAAACACAUCAGUGCGCAGGGGAGCCUGGUGGUAGAGCUGCAGUCAACGACGCAGAGUGGAAAAACUUCCAGAAAGCACCGUGCCGCGGGACCCGGACUGACCGGACACCUUCCAGUCGCAGGCUCAAACCAACCAAACACUAUCACGCACUUCCAUUUUCUGCCCCGCUAAUACAUCACUGUUUCGGGAGUCGCGUGAAUUAGGCACAAAAUACACGCCGGUGUUGAACCCGCUGUCUGCGGUGUCGACGCGGUCAACCAUUGUAGCAGCAGCCACAUACAAUGAAUAAGUUUGGACCAAAACAGCGACCGUUAAGUUACAAAGUUCCGCGUUGUAUUUGUGUCUAAUUAAAAAGGCGGUAUAUGUAAAAUAUAAAUAUUUACGGUAAUAUUCCAUCGAGGGACUCUCUAAAGCGCAAACUUCACCUUAAAUUAUGAGCAGCUCCGGGAAAAAUCCAUUCAGCAACAACUUGCUCGCUCCCGACGUACCGCAGUUGCUCAACUUGUAGAGAGUCAGACACCCAGCUGUGACAGCCGCGGUCAAGCUGGACACAAGCACAGCUCCAACUUCCGGUCUCAACCUUCAAAAUAAACGGACUGAAAGCACUCGCAAUGGGCACAUUUCUGAAUAACAAAAAAAUGUGCUUUCUACUUCAGUUGGCUCAUGGGCGGAUAUUUUAUGUCAUCGUUGGUGGGGACAAUAAAAAAAAUAUCUCAGCAGUAAAGAAAGUUGCUGAGGUUCUGAAAAAGCCACAGUGGUGUAGUCCAGUGUACAUGCCAUUCCAUGGACUUGCAGUUCCCAGGCAAGUUAAAACAGAAGAACUCCCUGAGGUACAAGUACCAAUUUAAGGUAAGAUUCCACUGAAACUCACAGGACCACUAAAUCCUCCCUUGUGUUUACUGGGAGUAAUGCUUACACUGUAACCCUUUCCUAAUCUGUUCAAGUCAAGUGUUUGGUACCCAAACAAUUC